ensembl:lncRNA
CGGAUUCCUCUGUGCUGUCACCCAUUAGUGACCUCUGACCUCUGACCUGAUCAGGGCUAGGGUUAGUAGCAUUAGUGUCUCAGUGCUGUGGCCCUCGCAGCCCUCAGAGUGCUGGUGUGUGACCGUAGUGUCACCUACACACCUCCCUGCAAGGUCACGCUGAGGUAGUUAGAGACACACCCCCCUGCAAGGUCACGCUGAGGUAGUUAGAGACACACCUCCCUGCAAGUUCACGCUGAGGUAGUUAGACACACCUCCCUGCAAGGUCACGCUGAGGUAGUUAGACACCCCUCCCUGCAAGGUCACGCUGAGGUAGUUAGACACACCUCCCUGCAAGGUCACGCCUCCCUGCAAGGUCACGCUGAGGUAGUUAGACACACCUCCCUGCAAGGUCACGCUGAGGUAGUUAGAGACACACCUCCCUGCAAGGUCACGCUGAGGUAGUUAGACACACCUCCCUGCAAGGUCACGCUGAGGUAGUUAGACACACCUCCCUGCAAGGUCACGCUGAGGUAGUUAGACACACCUCCC